rnacentral:lncRNA from 1 species
GGGAGGACAUUUAUAACACGUCUGAUAUGAGAGAUGGGAGGACAUUUAUAACACGUCUGAUAUGAGAGAUGGGAGGACAUUUAUAACACGUCUGAUAUGAGAGAUGGGAGGACAUUUAUAACACGUCUGAUAUGAGAGAUGGGAGGACAUUUAUAACAUGUCUAUGAGAGAUGGGAGGACAUUUAUAACACGUCUGAUAUGAGAGAUGGGAGGACAUUUAUAACACGUCUGAUAUGAGAGAUGGGAGGACAUUUAUAACACGUCUGAUAUGAGAAAUGGGAGGACAUUUAUAUCACGUCUGAUAUGAGAGAUGGGAGGACAUUUAUAACACAUGUCUGAUAUGAGAGAUGGGAGGACAUAUAUAACACGUCUGAUAUGAGAGAUGGGAGGACAUUUAUAUCACGUCUGAUAUGAGAGAUGGG